UACAAUGGAGAGUUUGAUCCUGGCUCAGGAUGAACGCUAGCGGCAGGCUUAACACAUGCAAGUCGAGGGGCAGCGAGAUUGAAGCUUGCUUCAAUUGUCGGCGACCGGCGGACGGGUGCGUAACGCGUAUGCAACCUACCCAUAACAGGGGGAUAACACUGAGAAAUUGGUACUAAUACCCCAUAACAUCUCGAGUGGCAUCACUUGGGGUUGAAAGCUUCGGUGGUUAUGGAUGGGCAUGCGUUGUAUUAGCUAGUUGGUGAGGUAACGGCUCACCAAGGCGACGAUACAUAGGGGGACUGAGAGGUUAACCCCCCACAUUGGUACUGAGACACGGACCAAACUCCUACGGGAGGCAGCAGUGAGGAAUAUUGGUCAAUGGACGGAAGUCUGAACCAGCCAUGCCGCGUGCAGGAUGACGGCUCUAUGAGUUGUAAACUGCUUUUGUACGAGGGUAAACCCGAAUACGUGUAUUCGGCUGAAAGUAUCGUACGAAUAAGGAUCGGCUAACUCCGUGCCAGCAGCCGCGGUAAUACGGAGGAUCCAAGCGUUAUCCGGAUUUAUUGGGUUUAAAGGGUGCGUAGGCGGUCAGAUAAGUUAGAGGUGAAAUUCCGGUGCUUAACACCGGCGCUGCCUCUAAUACUGUUUGACUAGAGAGUAGUUGCGGUAGGCGGAAUGUAUGGUGUAGCGGUGAAAUGCUUAGAGAUCAUACAGAACACCGAUUGCGAAGGCAGCUUACCAAGCUAUAUCUGACGUUGAGGCACGAAAGCGUGGGGAGCAAACAGGAUUAGAUACCCUGGUAGUCCACGCAGUAAACGAUGAUAACUCGUUGUCGGCGAUACAAUGUCGGUGACUAAGCGAAAGCGAUAAGUUAUCCACCUGGGGAGUACGUUCGCAAGAAUGAAACUCAAAGGAAUUGACGGGGGCCCGCACAAGCGGAGGAACAUGUGGUUUAAUUCGAUGAUACGCGAGGAACCUUACCCGGGCUUGAAAGUUAGUGACGGACUUGGAAACAAGUCUUCCCUUCGGGGCACGAAACUAGGUGCUGCAUGGUUGUCGUCAGCUCGUGCCGUGAGGUGUCGGGUUAAGUCCCAUAACGAGCGCAACCCCUACCGUUAGUUGCCAUCAGGUAAAGCUGGGCACUCUAGCGGGACUGCCGGUGUAAGCCGAGAGGAAGGUGGGGAUGACGUCAAAUCAGCACGGCCCUUACGUCCGGGGCUACACACGUGUUACAAUGGUAGGUACAGAGGGCAGCUACCCUGCGAAGGGAUGCGAAUCUCGAAAGCCUAUCUCAGUUCGGAUUGGAGGCUGAAACCCGCCUCCAUGAAGUUGGAUUCGCUAGUAAUCGCGCAUCAGCCAUGGCGCGGUGAAUACGUUCCCGGGCCUUGUACACACCGCCCGUCAAGCCAUGGGAGCUGGGGGUGCCUGAAGUUCGUGACCGCAAGGAGCGACCUAGGGCAAAACCGGUAACUGGGGCUAAGUCGUAACAAGGUAGCCGUACCGGAAGGUGCGGCUGGAACACCUCCUUUCUGGAGC
rnacentral:rRNA from 1 species